GAUGAACGCUAGCGGCAGGCCUAACACAUGCAAGUCGAGGGGGAGGUUACUUUCGGGUAACUGAGACCGGCGUACGGGUGCGUAACGCGUAUACAAUCUGCCUUUCACUGGGGGAUAGCCCGAAGAAAUUUGGAUUAAUACCCCAUAGUAUAGUAAUACGGCAUCGUGAUGCUAUUAAAGCUUAGGUGGUGAAAGAUGAGUAUGCGUUCUAUUAGCUAGUUGGAGAGGUAACGGCUCCCCAAGGCGAUGAUAGAUAGGGGUUCUGAGAGGGAUGUCCCCCACACUGGUACUGAGAUACGGACCAGACUCCUACGGGAGGCAGCAGUGAGGAAGAUUGGACAAUGGUCGGAAGACUGAUCCAGCCAUGCCGCGUGCAGGAUGAAGGUCUUAUGGAUUGUAAACUGCUUUUGUAAGGGAAGAAUAAGGGCUACGCGUAGUUUGAUGACGGUACCUUACGAAUAAGCAUCGGCUAACUCCGUG
rnacentral:rRNA from 1 species